UCGAAUUGAAUACCGAAUGAGGUGGAAUGUUACGUCGUGUCGGGCAGUGUAGUGAUCGCCGUAGCAUGACUCGUACGUAGAUCGACACCACCGACUUAAGGAGGAGAUGCGGCGAUGGCGGAUCUUUUCCGUCUUCUCCAACUGGUGAUGGAUCUGACAGCCGCCGGGAUCUCUCUCAUGCUUGUGUUCGGGAUCUUCGCCUUCGCCGCCGCCAUCCUUUCCGCCGUCGCCUUCAUCCACAACUCCAAGGCCCUGCCCUCCUAAUCCCGGUCGUGGGGUGUUCGAGGUUUCCUUCCUCUUGAUCUCAGUGUUCUCAUGGUAGAAUCGAGAAGAAUCGCGUUUCUGUUUUAGGUUUAGGAGAUGGGCGACUCUUGAUCAUUUCCGGUGUCGAAGCUGCGUGGUGGUUAUGGUUCUAUUUAGGGUUUUGUUCGAUUGAUUUCUUGGUGGAAUCGAUGAAAAGCUGCGGCCUUAGUUCCAGAUGUUGGGCGUCUUGAAUGUCUCGGACUUCAUUCUUACCUCUGGAUCUCAGUGUUUUCUGGGUGUAAUUGAAGAGAAGUUGCCGCGUUAGAGACAAGACUCCGAGGUGGUGUAUAGGAGGAGAUAUGACAGCCGAGAGCAACACGUUGAACUCCAGCAUCGAUGUGCUUAUUAUCUAUGAAUAGCGAUGGUGGUAAUGCUCGUUCGUUCCUAUUGAAGGUUGUCCAUUCACAUCUGCUUGGUGGGCUUUGUCUAAAAUAGAUUUGAAUCACCGUAAUCUAAACCGAGUUUGAGCUCCAAAAGACGUGAGGGACUUUUAGGACCGGACUGAUGACAGUGACAACAGCUCCAACGGAGCAGUUAGAAUUAGUCGAGGAAGCCACGUUGAAUGGUGUCGGACGUUUCAUGAAAUCAUAUUUCUGUGUAGCAGACAGAGGAGUUAGUUACAUGUUAGCCCAUGUAAUUAAUUAUUUUUAAUAUUUCGAUCUUUAUAUUUUUAAAAA